GUUCUCCCAGGCUCCGCCCCUCAGGCGGAUAUUCUCCUACAACUUCUGAAAUCGCCCGGCCCCAUCCCUCCCUGCCUUCACCUCUAAUUGGACGCUGGCCUCUAUAGGCUCCGCCCCUCGGCGACGUGAGCCCGCUUCCCUCCGAGUCUAGGCGCCGAGGGGGCGGGGCGGGGCGGGGCGUCUGCGCCCUAUUGUCAUGGAGACGGGAAGCCGGCGGCGGCGGUGGCGGGCAUAGCCCAGCAGAGGUGGCAGCGAACCGGCCGCGACUGAGGCGAGGCCGAGCAGCCCCGAGCGCGCGGAGCCGACCGCUGGCGGCCUCUCAGGCAGCCAAGGGAGCAGUGUUCUCCGGGGCUCGGGCUGGGCCGGGGUGAUCGCGGGGAGUGCCCAGGAGCGUCCCCGCCCUGCUCGCGUCGCUCGCGCUCUUGCGGCCCUUCAGCUCCCCAGCGCCCGCCCCCGGCUCCGCCCGCCGCCGCCGCCGCCGCCGCCGCCGCAGCCCCUCGCGCUAACGGUCGGUAGCGGCCCGCGCGCGCCGCCAGCCGGGGGCUCGCGCCAGCCACGAGGGAGCGUCCGCGGCUCACGCUCCCGCGCUGCGGAGGAGAGGUGAGCCCCGCGUCCACUCUGCCACCGCGUACCCUCCGCGUCUCGGCCGGGCUUCCUGCCUCUCGAGCCGCGUCCACGUCCUCCCGUGGACGGGAUGGACGCGGUGGUGCCCUGCGCCCCUCUGGGCUCUCGGUUAUGAGUAUGAUGCUUCCAUAUACGUUUGGAUGUUUUCAGCUAAGUUCACUUCUGAACUGUGGGGCUCCUCCAAGUGUUGACUGAAAUCUGUCCUUGAGCAUCCCCACGCUCAUCUGUAAAAUCUACAGUCCAUAAUGGAGCCACUGUACUGGCUUUUGGAAGGAGGAGAUUCUGAAGAUAGGGAGGGGAGCACGCUGUCUGCAGGGCAGUUUACUGUCAGCCACCACCCAGCUCAGAGUGGGAGACUCGCUGGUUGACAACUGGUUCCAGAGCUCUGCCAAGGAGCUCUCCAGGCCCAGCCGGGGCUGCUGUAGCGCACGGGAGGCCGGGAGCUGCGCCACUCGGGUUCCUUCCCUAGUUGUCAGCUUUAGGUCCCUUUCCAUUUUUUGUGUAAUCCUGGGCUGUGGGUAAUACUUUCCC
ensembl:lncRNA